GACGAACGCUGGCGGCGUGCUUAACACAUGCAAGUCGAACGGAAAGGCCCUGCUUUUGUGGGGUGCUCGAGUGGCGAACGGGUGAGUAACACGUGAGUAACCUGCCCUUGACUUUGGGAUAACUUCAGGAAACUGGGGCUAAUACCGGAUAGGAGCUCCUGCUGCAUGGUGGGGGUUGGAAAGUUUCGGCGGUUGGGGAUGGACUCGCGGCUUAUCAGCUUGUUGGUGGGGUAGUGGCUUACCAAGGCUUUGACGGGUAGCCGGCCUGAGAGGGUGACCGGCCACAGUGGGACUGAGAUACGGCCCAGACUCAUACGGGAGGCAGCAGUGGGGAAUAUUGCACAAUGGGCGGAAGCGUGAUGCAGCAACGCCGCGUGCGGGAUGACGGCCUUCGGGUUGUAAACCGCUUUCGCCUGUGACGAAGCGUGAGUGACGGUAAUGGGUAAAGAAGCACCGGCUAACUACGUG
rnacentral:rRNA from 1 species